AAACACUAGCCACCUGUCAGGAAUGGUAAACAGCCUACACCCGACAACCCUCACAUUGAAAGCUGACUGCCUCCCCCCCUCUUGGCAGAUGAGACUCCGUCGAGGGAAACAUUUUAUCUUGUAAAGCCUUCUAAGAACUUUGCCGCAUAAGUGAAAGUGAACCGUUAUUUCAGACACCAGACAUGCAACCUGGUAUUAGCGAGAUUAGAGACUGACUAAAAACACGCUUGGUUUCGACCCCUCUGGCUGUGAAGAGUAGCCCGGGUUGACAGCGUCUCUGAUGGACAACGGGGAAAGGAUUAUAUUUUACAUACACCGGACACAUACUUCAUUUUAUAACUCAGUGAAAUUCUGCCUAAUGAUUGUUGUCUGACACCGGGAGCAGUGCCUCGAGGCAACUGCCAAAAUGAAGGAAACAUCAACAUGGAGUGUCUUAAAAAGGCUCUGGGCCACUACUACAUAGACUCUACAAGUGUCUGGAAUUCUGUUGGAGGGAUGGGACAACAUUCUUCGGCACUAUCUACAAAGGUCAGUGGGAAAAAGUUGUGAUGGACUACUUUCUGGAGGACGAUCGUGCCAUGCUGACUCUCUCCGACUCUGAAAAUGAAUCAGACGAUGAGGAAAUCCCUGAUUUACAAUACUGUUCAAAAGAUUGGGGUCAUUAAGAAAUGUCCUUGUUUUUUUAAAGAAAAGCCCAUUUUUUUUGUCCAUUAAUAUAACAUUUGUCAGAAAUACAGUGUAGACAUUGUUAAUGUUGUAAAUUACUAUUGUAGCUGGAAACGGGUGAUACAAAAAAUGUAAUAUCUACAUAAGCGUACAGAGGCCCAUUAUCAGCAACCAUCACUCCUGUGUUCCAAUGGCACGUUGUGUUAGCUAAUCCAAGUGUAGAAUUUUAAAAGGCUAAUUGGUUAUUAGAAAAGCCUUUUGCAAUUAUGUUAGCAUAGCUGAAAACUGUUGUACUGAUUUAAAGAAGCAAUAAAACUGUC